UGACAGCUCAGUUGGUAGACCAUGAGACUCUUAAUCUCAUGGUUGUGGGUUCAAUCCCCAUGCUGGGCGAAA